rnacentral:rRNA from 1 species
AACGAACGCUGGCGGCAGGCUUAACACAUGCAAGUCGAGCGCCCCGCAAGGGGAGCGGCAGCCGGGUGAGUAACGCGUGGGAACGUACCUUUUGGUUCGGAACAACUCCGGGAAACUGGAGCUAAUACCGGAUAAGCCCUAACGGGGAAAGAUUUAUCGCCGAAAGAUCGGCCCGCGUCUGAUUAGCUAGUUGGUGAGGUAACGGCUCACCAAGGCGACGAUCAGUAGCUGGUCUGAGAGGAUGAUCAGCCACACUGGGACUGAGACACGGCCCAGACUCCUACGGGAGGCAGCAGUGGGGAAUAUUGGACAAUGGGCGCAAGCCUGAUCCAGCCAUGCCGCGUGAGUGAUGAAGGCCCUAGGGUUGUAAAGCUCUUUUGUCCGGGAAGAUAAUGACUGUACCGGAAGAAUAAGCCCCGGCUAACUUCGU